rnacentral:rRNA from 1 species
CCUACGGGCGGCAGCAGUGAGGAAUAUUGGUCAAUGGACGAGAGUCUGAACCAGCCAAGUAGCGUGAAGGAUGACUGCCCUAUGGGUUGUAAACUUCUUUUAUAUGGGAAUAAAAUGUUCCACGUGUGGGAUUUUGUAUGUACCAUAUGAAUAAGGAUCGGCUAACUCCGUGCCAGCAGCCGCGGUAAUACGGAGGAUCCGAGCGUUAUACGGAUUUAUUGGGUUUAAAGGGAGCGUAGGUGGAUUGUUAAGUCAGUUGUGAAAGUUUGCGGCUCAACCGUAAAAUUGCAGUUGAAACUGGCAGUCUUGAGUACAGUAGAGGUGGGCGGAAUUCGUGGUGUAGCGGUGAAAUGCUUAGAUAUCACGAAGAACUCCGAUUGCGAAGGCAGUUCACUGGACUGCAACUGACACUGAGGCUCGAAAGUGUGGGUAUCAAACAGGAUUAGAUACCCCUGUAGUC